rnacentral:SRP_RNA from 2 species
GCUGGGUGUGGUGGUGCGCACCUGUAAUCCCAGCUACUCAGGAGGCUGAGGCAUGAGAAUCGCUUGAACCUGGGAGGUGGAGGUUGCAGUGAGCCGAGAUGGUGCCACUGCACUCCUGCCUAGGUAACAGAGCAAGACCCUGUCUCAA